CUUGGCUACAAUAUGCCAUCUCCUACAAGAAGCAUGUAUAUUUGAGAGUGAGACAUAAUUUGAGGGGUUCUCAGGUUCUAAUUGAAUAAGAAACUUGUAAGCUAGAUCCUUACAAGUUUCUUAUUCAAUAUGGAAGCACUAACAAGAGCCCCCCAAACACUAGGACCAGGUUCCAUGGGCAUUGUUUUAAUAAAAUCUAAUGCCAUUUCAAGGCGGCCUGAUCUACCUAACAUGUCCACAAGACAAGCGCAUAUCUCAGCCGUUGGCCCAAUUCCAUAUUCACUUAUUGCAGAGUUAUAGAUACGAAGGCCUUCAUCUACCAAUCCUGACCUGUCACAAGCAGAAAGAGCCCCUACUACUGUUAUCAUGUCUGGUUUAUUCCCUUUC
rnacentral:misc_RNA from 1 species